rnacentral:rRNA from 1 species
AUUGAACGCUGGCGGCAGGCCUAACACAUGCAAGUCGAGCGGUAACACAGGGAGCUUGCUCCCGGGUGACGAGCGGCGGACGGGUGAGUAAUGUCUGGGAAACUGCCUGAUGGAGGGGGAUAACUACUGGAAACGGUAGCUAAUACCGCAUAACGUCGCAAGACCAAAGAGGGGGACCUUCGGGCCUCUUGCCAUCAGAUGUGCCCAGAUGGGAUUAGCUAGUAGGCGGGGUAAUGGCUCACCUAGGCAACGAUCCCUAGCUGGUCUGAGAGGCUGACCAGCCACACUGGAACUGAGAUACGGUCCAGACUCCUACGGGAGGCAGCAGUGGGGAAUAUUGCACAAUGGGCGAAAGCCUGAUGCAGCCAUGCCGCGUGUAUGAAGAAGGCCUUCGGGUUGUAAAGUACUUUCAGCGGGGAGGAAGGUGCUGAGGUUAAUAACCUCAGCAAUUGACGUUACCCGCAGAAGAAGCACCGGCUAACUCCGUGCCAGCAGCCGCCGCCGUAA